rnacentral:lncRNA from 1 species
AAGCACCAAGUGCUCAGUUAGAAAAAACUGGUACAGCUUUGCACAACGGCGACCCCCUCUGUGGAUGCAAGGCCAGACGAGAACAAAACAGAAUCCCACGUUCUCAAACCUUAUCAUGCUGGAGAUGUUUUCCUGGCGUCUCCAUCAUCUAGCCAUCCAUGUGCUAUCUUCAGACUUUGCUGCGAUGGGAACCGGACUCCUCUUUCUCCCUUCCUCAGCCUUCGCUGGAAAGGUUUUGCCUUAUGGUUUCUGGAGAAAAAGGCUACAAGUCUGUUUGUGAGUAUGCACCAUGUCUUUCUGUCAAGGAGACAUAGUUCUCUGCAUGGUGGUCUCUGCACUGAUGCUUUGAAAGAAUCUGAUGUGAAAUUAUAAUAGUCUUUUCAAAUUCUUCAGGUCUUUUAUUUGUUUACAACGCUCA